ensembl:snoRNA SNORD81 Small nucleolar RNA SNORD81
GAUACAAAUGAUGAUACCUUUGCCUUGAACUCUCUCUCUGAUCAUGUGAUGGAAAAUGCGAGGUCUGAUGCAAUC